CGAUGAUGCCCAGCUUGCUGGGCGGAUUAGUGGCGAACGGGUGAGUAAUACGUGAGUAACCUGCCCUUGACUCUGGGAUAAGCCUGGGAAACUGGGUCUAAUACUGGAUACUACCUCUUACCGCAUGGUGGGUGGUGGAAAGGGUUUUACUGGUUUUGGAUGGGCUCACGGCCUAUCAGCUUGUUGGUGGGGUAAUGGCUCACCAAGGCGACGACGGGUAGCCGGCCUGAGAGGGUGACCGGCCACACUGGGACUGAGACACGGCCCAGACUCCUACGGGAGGCAGCAGUGGGGAAUAUUGCACAAUGGGCGGAAGCCUGAUGCAGCGACGCCGCGUGAGGGAUGACGGCCUUCGGGUUGUAAACCUCUUUCAGUAGGGAAGAAGCGAGAGUGACGGUACCUGCAGAAGAAGCGCCGGCUAACUACGUGCCAGCAGCCGCGGUAAUACGUAGGGCGCAAGCGUUGUCCGGAAUUAUUGGGCGUAAAGAGCUCGUAGGCGGUUUGUCGCGUCUGCUGUGAAAGCCCGGGGCUCAACCCCGGGUCUGCAGUGGGUACGGGCAGACUAGAGUGCAGUAGGGGAGACUGGAAUUCCUGGUGUAGCGGUGAAAUGCGCAGAUAUCAGGAGGAACACCGAUGGCGAAGGCAGGUCUCUGGGCUGUUACUGACGCUGAGGAGCGAAAGCAUGGGGAGCGAACAGGAUUAGAUACCCUGGUAGUCCAUGCCGUAAACGUUGGGCACUAGGUGUGGGGGACAUUCCACGUUUUCCGCGCCGUAGCUAACGCAUUAAGUGCCCCGCCUGGGGAGUACGGCCGCAAGGCUAAAACUCAAAGGAAUUGACGGGGGCCCGCACAAGCGGCGGAGCAUGCGGAUUAAUUCGAUGCAACGCGAAGAACCUUACCAAGGCUUGACAUUCACCGGACCGCCCCAGAGAUGGGGUUUCCCUUCGGGGCUGGUGGACAGGUGGUGCAUGGUUGUCGUCAGCUCGUGUCGUGAGAUGUUGGGUUAAGUCCCGCAACGAGCGCAACCCUCGUUCUAUGUUGCCAGCACGUGAUGGUGGGGACUCAUAGGAGACUGCCGGGGUCAACUCGGAGGAAGGUGGGGAUGACGUCAAAUCAUCAUGCCCCUUAUGUCUUGGGCUUCACGCAUGCUACAAUGGCCGGUACAAAGGGUUGCGAUACUGUGAGGUGGAGCUAAUCCCAAAAAGCCGGUCUCAGUUCGGAUUGAGGUCUGCAACUCGACCUCAUGAAGUCGGAGUCGCUAGUAAUCGCAGAUCAGCAACGCUGCGGUGAAUACGUUCCCGGGCCUUGUACACACCGCCCGUCAAGUCACGAAAGUUGGUAACACCCGAAGCCGGUGGCCUAACCCC
rnacentral:rRNA from 1 species